rnacentral:rRNA from 1 species
GAAGUGCAGCGAUGCAUGGAGCUGACGUGUACUAAUAGGCCGAGGGCUUACCCAU